rnacentral:rRNA from 1 species
GACGAACGCUGGCGGCGUGCUUAACACAUGCAAGUCGAGCGGUAAGGCCUUUCGGGGUACACGAGCGGCGAACGGGUGAGUAACACGUGGGUGAUCUGCCCUGCACUUCGGGAUAAGCCUGGGAAACUGGGUCUAAUACCGGAUAUGACCUCCUAUCGCAUGGUGGGUGGUGGAAAGAUUUAUCGGUGCAGGAUGGGCCCGCGGCCUAUCAGCUCGUUGGUGGGGUAAUGGCCUCCCAAGGCGCCGACGGGUAGCCGACCUGAGAGGGUGACCGGCCACACUGGUACUGAGAGACGGCCCAGACUCCUACGGGAGGCAGCAGUGGGGAAUAUGGCACAAUGGGCGAAAGCCUGAGGCAGCGACGCCGCGGGAGGGAUGACGGCCCUCGGGUUGUAAACCUCUUUCAGCAGGGACGAAGCGCAAGUGACGGUACCUGCAGAAGAAGCACCGGCUAACUACGUG